GGUUGAUCCUGCCAGUAGUCAUAUGCUUGUCUCAAAGACUAAGCCAUGCAUGUCUAAGUAUAAACACCUUUAUACUGCGAAACUGCGAACGGCUCAUUAUAUCAGUUAUAAUCUACUUGAUCGUAUCCUCUUACUUGGAUAACCGUAGUAAUUCUAGAGCUAAUACAUGCAAAAGUUCCCGACUGGUGACGGAAGGGAAGUAUUUAUUAGGUCCAAAAUCAAUGCUGGCCAUUCCAAACUGGGUGGGUCAAACUGCCUGGGGUCAGGAAAGUUGAUGAUUCAUAAUAACUAAA
rnacentral:rRNA from 1 species